GUACACUCCUGCGGGAGGCAGCAGUGGGGAAUUUUGGACAAUGGGCGAAAGCCUGAUCCAGCAAUGCCGCGUGUGUGAAGAAGGCCUUCGGGUUGUAAAGCACUUUUGUCCGGAAAGAAAUCCUCGGCUCUAAUACAGUCGGGGGAUGACGGUACCGGAAGAAUAAGCACCGGCUAACUACGUGCCAGCAGCCGCGGUAAUACGUAGGGUGCGAGCGUUAAUCGGAAUUACUGGGCGUAAAGCGUGCGCAGGCGGUUUGCUAAGACCGAUGUGAAAUCCCCGGGCUCAACCUGGGAACUGCAUUGGUGACUGGCAGGCUAGAGUAUGGCAGAGGGGGGUAGAAUUCCACGUGUAGCAGUGAAAUGCGUAGAGAUGUGGAGGAAUACCGAUGGCGAAGGCAGCCCCCUGGGCCAAUACUGACGCUCAUGCACGAAAGCGUGGGGAGCAAACAGGAUUAGAUACCCCCGUAGUCCCAUGA
rnacentral:rRNA from 1 species